GAGAGGCUCUGGUGUGGGGACUGCUGGUUCUGCUGCCUCUCACCAUGGGUUUUUGUUGUCUUUUUUGUUUUAAUUCUAAAAAAUCCCAUGGAUUUGAGUGCUUUAAAGGUGUUCAUGUGAUUAUUUUGGGUUGUAUUUUGGGUUGUUCGCCCCAUAGGGCCGUCUAAGGGUGGGGUGUAACAAAUGGGGGCUCGUCUGGGAGAGAACAUCCAUAAGGUGAAAUAUCCAAAUUUGACCCAAAGGUGCUACUAAUCUGGGUGUUUAGUUGUGUUCAUCUUAAUAUACAGCCUUGAUCUAUCCAGGUGUGCUGCAUUACCGAAUGAGGUGCAGCACACCUGGCAUGGAGGAGGUGCUUAAGAGCUCCUGUGGCAGCAGCAGAGGAGAGAGGCUCUGGUGUGGGUACUGCAGGUCCUGCUGCCUCUCACCGAGGGAUUUUUGUUUUGUUUGCCUGUUUUCAAUUCUAAUAAUUCCCAUGGAAUUCAUGUGAUUGUUAUGGGUCAGUGUUGGAGUUUUGUUCGCCCCAUAGGGCUGCCUAAGGGUGGGGCGUAACAGUAACCAAGUGCAUUUACUAAAGUACUGAUAACUUUGAGGUACUUGAGUAUUUUUGUGUUACUUCAAGCUUUAAUUCUACUAUAUUCUUGAUUAAAAAAUUUCACUUCACUUCCCACAUUAACAGCACCGCUC